UACGUAGGGUGCAAGCGUUAAUCGGAAUUACUGGGCGUAAAGCGUGCGCAGGCGGUUUUUGAAGACAGGUGUGAAAUCCCCGGGCUCAACCUGGGAAUUGCGCUCGAAACUACGGUGCUGGAGUGUGGCAGAGGGAGGUGGAAUUCCACGUGUAGCGGUGAAAUGCGUAGAGAUGUGGAGGAACACCGAUGGCGAAGGCAGCCUCCUGGGCCAACACUGACGCUCAUGCACGAAAGCGUGGGGAGCAAACAGG
rnacentral:rRNA from 1 species